AUCCAUGGUUUUAAUUACUGUUUUGAUCUAGAAAAAAGCACGAGUCGAUUAUCAAUCAACAGAAAAGGUCUAAGGUUGACUUCAAAGUCAAACUAAAUGUCGACUUACGUCGAUAAAAAUGUCUUGACUAUAGUCUACUACAAUCUGCCAGUAAGUCAACUUAGAAAUCUACUUUAUGGCGACUAAAAGUCAAUUUUUAACCGAGGUUGUAUGGAUUUUUCAGUUUUUAUUGUUGUAUUAAACAUAAAAGUAAUAAACAGAUGUUAGUAAAACUUUACAACAAUACAUCUUAACGGUCCAGAAAAGUACUGUUAAAUUUUUGAAACGAUGCACUUGAUCGUUUGAGUAAUAUAACUGAUAAAAUAUAAAAAUUUAUAAUCAAAGUAAUGCAGCACGUAAGUAUGAUAAAUGUGUACUAGUGAUCUAACAUGAAUUUCAAAUUGUUGUAUUUAGUUAUCUAAGAGUGGUAUAAUAGUAAAAAAUGUUUAUUCUCAAUUUUUAAAAUAAUUAUUGUAGUA